UACGUAGGGGGCAAGCGUUGUCCGGAUUUAUUUGGGCGUAAAGAGCGUGUAGGCGGUUUGGUAGGUCCGCUGUGAAAACUCGAGGCUCAACCUCGAGACGCCGGUGGAAACCAUCAGGCUAGAGUCCGGAAGAGGAGAGUGGAAUUCCUGGUGUAGCGGUGAAAUGACGCAGAUAUCAGGAAGAACACCCGUGGCUAAGGCGGCUCUCUAGUACGGUACUGACGCUGAGACGCGAAAGCGUGGGGGAGCGAACAGG
rnacentral:rRNA from 1 species